CCGAGGGAACUAGGUCAUUCGGCUAGGUCAAACUAGUAUACCGGAAUCCAGCAAGUUGUAUUAAAAUGCACUAAACAAGGAAAUGAGUUUGGUAAAACGUACCAACCCUAAAAUACUAUCGAAUGUGACAUAUUAGUGACACUAAAACCUAGUUUACCUAGAACGCAUCGAGAGUCGAUAUAUUAGGUGAUUAAGCAAAUAAUAGAUUUCAGUGAACUACUUAUCAAGCAUUAUCGUUAGAGACAGUUUAAUUUAGUACUGAAACACUUCAAAUUGUGUUUCUCAGUUAGUAAAGACUCAGGGAAAGGGAAGGAAACACUGAGUCCAGACCAGGAGACAGUCAUCAGAGGUAAGAAGAGCAUAGAGCAGUAAGUAAAUUUCCUUGAAGAUAUAUUCAGAUCAGCUCCAGGUAUAUCAUAGGUAUACCCAUGUACAUAGGUUUUGAUGUAUGCAUGUAAUAAUAUGUAUAUAAAUUAUUUGAGCAGUUGUAUAGAAACUCUUGUAAAAUAUUUUGGUAUGUAAUUAAAUGUAAAUUAUUGUAAAUGUAAAUUUGAGAUUUCAUUUA